UACGUAGGGGGCUAGCGUUGUCCGGAAUCAUUGGGCGUAAAGCGCGUGUAGGCGGUCCGGUAAGUCCGCUGUGAAAGUCGGGGGCUCAACCCUCGGAUGCCGGUGGAUACUGUCGGGCUUGAGUACGGAAGAGGCGAGUGGAAUUCCUGGUGUAGCGGUGAAAUGCGCAGAUAUCAGGAGGAACACGAAUUGCGAAGGCAGCUCGCUGGGACGUUACUGACGCUGAGACGCGAAAGCGUGGGGAGCAAACAGG
rnacentral:rRNA from 1 species